CGUUCGCGAACUGCGCAGGCGAUGAGCCGCGUGCGAUUUAACGAAAUAGUCAAACCGGAAAAAUCGUGACAAGAAAUUUAAUUAGCCCGACACAAAGUGACAAUGUAUACACAGACGCUAAUAAUAAAAUGUUGAGUGUACUUAAAAAAUAGAUGUAGUUUUUAAACAGUGUUUAUAAAAUGAUUAUUACAUUUUCAGAAUAAGAAAACAAUAAAAUAAUCUCGUGACGCUUGCGAGAAGUUUUUAAAAUGAGCACACUUGAACCCUAAUCAAAUGUGGACUUACUCGAGCGUAGACAUCCCAGCGAGUACAGUCAGCCGGACGGAGAGAAUAAGGAUAUACAUAUCUGAGUGCGUUGUGUGCUUCUGUAUAUUAUUCUUCUUUGUUUGCGUAGGCCUACUCCUUUACUUGUUCUUCCAUUUGUAUAACACCGUGACAAAUACACACAAAAAUAUUGUUACUUUAAUUGAAAGUUGAGGUGGAAAAUUACUGAAUGUGAAAUUACCAAGUGUGUAGUAAAUAGAUCUCGUUCCUGUAAGAUUAUGUAAAAAUAAAAUGUGAUUCUAAUUUAUGAUUGCAUUGUUAAGUUUUAUUUUAUUGUAACAAAGUCAGUAUUUUAUGAUAUUUAUUUGUGUAAUUUUUGUGUGUGUAGUUAUAUUACUUACCUAAACUGCAGAAUGAGGUAUUGUCACAAUUCAAAUGAUGCACUUUUAAUAUUUAGAAAUAAUGAACAGGUAUAUAAUUAAUAACAUAAUUUAGUCAGAUACGUGAACAAAAGCUUAUCUAAUUAAAAGUCAAGGAACAAUAAAAUGUGUACUUAAUAGCGUUAUUUAAUUAUUUCUCCUAUUAAAUUAGAUUGUUUCACGAA